rnacentral:misc_RNA from 1 species
UCCUGCUUGCGCAGGCAGUCUGUACAGAGUUCCCGGCAUUACCCGCUGGCAACAGUACAUAGGGGUUGCGCUCGUUGCCGGACUUAACCGAACACCUCACGGCACGAGCUGACGACAGCCAUGCAGCACCUCGACUGGCAGCUCUUGAUGUAAUCGCAAGCACCCGAUGUUUCCACCGGUAGCACCAGCCGUUCGAGCCCAGGUAAGGUUCUUCGCGUUGCGUCGAAUUGAACCACAUGCUCCACCGCUUGUGCGGGCCCCCGUCAAUUCCUUUGAGUUUCAAUCUUGCGAUCGUACUCCCCAGGCGGGAUACUUACUGCGUUAGCUGCGGCACAACCGGCACUGCGCCGGUCACACCAAGUAUCCAUCGUUUAGGGCGUGGACUAC